ACCAGACUCCUACGGGAGGCAGCAGUGGGGAAUAUUGCACAAUGGGCGAAAGCCUGAUGCAGCGACGCCGCGUGAGUGAAGAAGUAAUUCGUUACGUAAAGCUCUGUCAGCAGGGAGGAAAAUGACGGUACCUGACCAAGAAGCCCCGGCUAACUACGUGCCAGCAGCCGCGGUAAUACGUAGGGGGCGAGCGUUAUCCGGAUUUACUGGGUGUAAAGGGAGCGUAGACGGCCAUGCAAGCUCGGUGUGAAAGGUGCGGGCACAACCCGCAGACUGCACUGAGAACUGUAUGGCUGGAGUGCCGGAGGGGCAGGCGGAAUUCCUGGUGUAGCGGUGAAAUGCGUAGAUAUCAGGAGGAACACCGGUGGCGAAGGCGGCCUGCUGGACGGCGACUGACGUUGAGGCUCGAAAGCGUGGGGAGCGAACAGGAUUAGAUACCCCAGUA
rnacentral:rRNA from 1 species